rnacentral:tRNA from 1 species
CUCCUCGUAGCUUAGAGGUAGAAUAGUGAUGCGUAAAACCAAGGGUCCGGGUUCGAUUCCCGGCGAGGAAG